GCACUCUGGACUUUGAAUCCAGCGAUCC
rnacentral:piRNA from 4 species